CUUUUCUACUGUAAAUUUUUACUUUAGCAUAAUAGUAGCUGGCUGUGCACCUCAGUACCUUUGUCUGAGGGAUAGAGGAAGCAAUCUUUGUGUUAUCCACUUGAUACUAUGAACAGCAAAGUGUGAACAUGUGUGCAAAAGUGUCAAACUGGGAUUUUUCACCCACAUGAUGCUCCUUCUAACAGGUUUUGUAUAUGAUUACCUGAACAUCAUAGAGGGUAUAAUAUGCCCAAACCACUCUAGGAUUUGUCUUAAAAAAUCUUUUGAAGGGUUGGGAAUUUAGCUCAGUGGUUCUGCCUCACAAGCACAAGGACCCGAGUUUGAUCCCCAGUACCAAAAAAAAAAAUCUUUUGAUUUUUCUACUAGAAUUAGCUUAGUUAAAUAUGAUGGCACAUGAAAAACUAGAUUUGCAAGUUUUGGAGGGGGUUAAAAGUGAAUCAUCAGAGUAUUCAUGCAUAGAUGAUGAAAAUGAUCCAUUAUGGUAAAAUACAUGUUUUCAUAACAGGAGAGCGUGUGGGUGAAUGAUGAUGAUGAUGAUGAUGACAAUGACAUUGGUGUUGGUCAUAUGAGCCAAAGUUCCCAUGACAGUGAAAUGGAGCAAGAAUCAACUGAUAAAGACACAGAGAAUGCCAAUCUACUUGAUUCAGAUGACAAAGAAAAAAGCAAUUGCACAUUUUACAACAUAGUAGGAAGCACCUGAAAAAACAGGAAGAGAAGAGAGGUGACAAGGCUGCCACAUAGGAAAAACCCCAGCAUAUGUGCUGUCAGUGUAAGCAAGAUGUGUGCAUGGAACAUGCAGUGGUCAUGUGUGAAGACUGCCUUGGAUGUGACAAUUGAAGCAAAGAUUACUUUUGUUGUAGUGUUCUAUUGGUAUUUUCAUUGUAGUUUACCUGUUUUAAUUCUGUAGUUACCUUUAAGAUUUUAUAAUCAAGUACACAGCUGAUGUGAAAAUGUGCUUAUUCUAAAUGUGCAAUGCAUAUUAAUAAUUUAAUACUUUACUUUAUAUUCCUGUUAACUACACAUUGUGUGAGCCUCCUGACCACACAGCAAGACCAGUGAGAUGCCAAGUAUGUCCUACAAAAAGGCCAGGAAAGCCAAACAUAUGUACUGUUAGCAAUACAUGUGUAUGGAAUGUGCUAUUGUUAUGUGUGACAACUGCCUUAGGUGUGAUAAUUGAAGUAAAGAUUUGUUUUUUGUAGAAUGCUAUUGGUAUUUUAAUUGUUGUUCAUAUAGAAAUUUAUUGCUAUUGUUCUUUUUUUAGAUAUUGUACAUCAAAAACCAGUCAAUGUUGAAAAUUUUGAUGCUUUUUAAAUAAAAACUCAGUAAAUAUUAAAUAUUAAAUAUUUUAUUUUUGUGAUUUUCCCUGUUAAGUCCUCAUUGUUUAAUAUAAUAAAAGUCAUAAAAUUAAAAUUGGUAAUUCAUUCAAUUCAUGGAGACCACUCUGAAUGAGCUAAAAUUCAUAAAUUGGCUUUUUAUAUUAAAAGUCUGAGUCUGCCUAUUGGUCCACAAUGGUUUGCCUGAAGAGCCAGCAGUUGGUGUGUGG
rnacentral:lncRNA from 1 species